rnacentral:rRNA from 1 species
GUAGGUGGCAAGCGUUGUCCGGAAUUAUUGGGGCGUAAAGCGCGCGCAGGCGGUUCUUUAAGUCUGAUGUGAAAGCCCACGGGCUCAACCGUGGAGGGUCAUUGGAAACUGGAGAACUUGAGUACAGAAGAGGAAAGCGGAAUUCCACGUGUAGCGGUGAAAUGCGUAGAGAUGUGGAGGAACACCAGUGGCGAAGGCGGCUUUCUGGUCUGUAACUGACGCUGAGGCGCGAAAGCGUGGGGAGCAAACAGGAUUAGAUACCCUGUAGUCCACGCCGUAAACGAUGAGUGCUAAGUGUUAGGGGGUUUCCGCCCCUUAGUGCUGCAGCUAACGCAUUAAGCACUCCGCCUGGGGAGUACGGCCGCAAAGGCUG